rnacentral:rRNA from 1 species
CCUACGGGUGGCAGCAGUGAGGAAUAUUGGUCAAUGGACGAGAGUCUGAACCAGCCAAGUAGCGUGAAGGAUUACUGCCCUAUGGGUUGUAAACUUCUUUUAUCUGGGAAUAAAAUGUUCCACGUGUGGGAUUUUGUAUGUACCAUAUGAAAAAGGAUCGGCUAAAUCCGUGCCAGCAGCCGCGGUAAUACGGAGGAUUCGAGCGUUAUCCGGAUUUAUUGGGUUUAAAGGGAGCGUAGGUUGAUUGUUAAGUCAGUUGUGAAAGUUUGCGGCUCAACCGUAAAAGUGCAGUUGAAACUGGGAGUCGUGAGUACAGUAGAGGUAGGCGGAAUUCGUGGUGUAGCGGUGAAAUGCUUAGAUAUCACGAAGAACUCCGAUUGCGAAGGCAGCUCACUGGACUGCAACUGACACUGAGGCUCGAAAGUGUGGGUAUCGAACAGGAUUAGAUACCCCUGUAGUC